GGACGAACGCUGGCGGCGUGCUUAACCCAUGCAAGUCGAACGGAAAGGCCUGCUUUCCCUUGUGGAUUGCGGGUACUCGAGUGGCGAACGGGUGAGUAACACGUGAGUGAUCUGCCCCCAACUUGGGUAUAAGCCUGGGAAACUGGGUCUAAUUCCCGAUAGGACUGCAGGGUGGUGCCUGUGGUGGAAAACGAUUUUCUAGUGGUUGGGGAUGAGCUCGCGGCCUAUCAGCUUGUUGGUGGGGUAAUGGCCUACCAAGGCGGCGACGGGUAGCCGGCCUGAGAGGGUGGACGGCCACAUUGGGACUGAGAUACGGCCCAGACUCCUACGGGAGGCAGCAGUGGGGAAUAUUGCACAAUGGGCGGAAGCCUGAUGCAGCGACGCCGCGUGGGGGAUGACGGCCUUCGGGUUGUAAACUCCUUUCGACCGCGAGGAAGCCACCUGGUUGGAAGGGUGGUGACGGUAGUGGUAGAAGAAGCACCGGCUAACUACGUG
rnacentral:rRNA from 1 species